CACUUGUCUCUGCCCCAGCACGGGAAAAGGUGGUUCUGGGCAGGCCGCGCUUUGAAGAAGGAGUCUGGACUCUUGCUUUUGGUCCUCAGUUGAGUUUAUUGUUCCUUAUCUACAGAGUUUUUCUGUCUGUGCAGCCGAGGUCUGAUCAGCAAGACAGCCAAGGGCACUCUCUCCCGCCCAUGGGGCGGUUGUCUCUUUUAUAGUGAAGACUGUGUAUAAGAUAUUUACCUUCUAUUUCCAAUACCUUUCACCCUUGUUGGCAGCUUCACCAUGAACCAAUCCACAUGUGCCAACAUCAUCCUGAACAUGGAUGCCAAGAAGAAGAAAGAAGGACAGGGCACGCCCAAAUCCCUCCAUCUUGGGACUCCUGACCCCCAUGUACAGGAUUCCAAACCCCGCUGUACAAGGUUCAAAACCCCCCUGUACAGUGCUCCAAAUUUUUUCCCUUCACCCUGUGAUUGCUAUUACUAUGCUACUUAAACUUUUGUGACCUGUAAUUCUUCGUAUAAGGUUGGCAACUUGCUCCACGAAUUAAGAUCGAAUUUCCAGGUGUCUUUGGCUUCCUGCCAGGGUCUCUGAGCCGCUGCCAGGGCUUUGAGACAUCCAGGGCAUCCAGAGAAAUGCCCUGGGUUCCAACAACCUUGCAGUGUCUGAAACCCCAGAGAGCCUCGUGGGCUCUGAGUGCUGGUGCCAGGGCCACCCAAACACCAGGCACGCUGCAGCCUAAGCCUUGGUGAGGUUCUGUGCAAAGAUGAACGAUUAACAGCAAGCCCAGGUCGUGCUCGAGGUUGUGCUGAUGCACAGCCCUCCCCUCUCUCCCACACUGCGGGAGCAAAGGGCCCUGCCCGUGGCUGCUGCUGCUGCGAGGGCUCUGCAUUGCCGUGACAUGAGCUGCACCUCUGCAAAGACACACUGCAGCUGCCCGGAGGAACAACUCCCAAGGGAUCCAUUGCCAGCAUUCCUGGUCUUUGUGGGCACAGGUCAGACACCAGUGGGGGACUGGUAUCAGCACACUCAGCAUUACAUCAUUUGCUAGACCAGUUCUUUUUGAGCUUUUAGGACCCAACACUUCCGGUUCCACAGCAGGCUUUUUUCUGCGAGGAAUGGCAGGACCCUGGACAGCUGCCUGGAAUGUCAUGGGACACAGAGGAAUCAAUGUGUCUCUUUUUGAGCCCCUCAAGCUAGAGCAGUAACUCUGCUAGCUGUCAGGAAAUAACAGCCCCCCACCCCCCCGAAACAAAACAUCUGAUCUUGAUCAUAAAAUCUGUGCCCUACACCAUUAAUAGAAACAGAAAAAAAAAUUAAAAUCCAGGAAACAAUUGAUAGCUGGGAAAGAAAGAACCACAACUCUUUGUGGCAUCUAAGAAUAAUUUCUGUCCUCUCUUGAUGCAAGAACAAGAGGGAAAGGAUAAAAACCACUGGGAUGGAAGGAUUUUUCUUGUCAGAAAGGGUGCAUUAUUGUCCUUACUAAAGGAAUUCAAAGUGGGUUUGAUUCAUCUAGACAGUUCAAUGAUAUCUACACCUGUCAUACCUAUGGACUUUUUCCAGCUCAUACAUUUUUUUUCAGCAGGUAAAGUGUUGCUAUGUCUUCCAGGAGUUCCUAAACACUAAACUGCUGUUUCUGGAAUCAGAGAUCCUUUUAUAUGUGAUACAAGAGGUUGGAUUUCCUCUAGUUCUAAGAAACCUGCACAAUUACACUGCAAUAUACUAUGAAACCAUCUUCAUAAAGAUGGAAUUAACAAAGAUAUCAGAUGAAUACAUAGACAAAGCCUGACUUCCAGAACCAAAGUCCUUUCAAGAAGAUGUCUCCUAAGCAAGACUUCUCAGCCUGAUGCACUGUCAGAGCAUUUUCCUCUAAGACUGCGUUCUUUUUAUGUUAACUUCAUGCACAACUGAGUGCACAAUUCAUAGGUCAAAACUGUUUGUUUCAUAUUUUCUUACGUGCUCCUUUUUCCCUUUGUCCCUGUUACACCACGGCACUGCAGACUCUGCAUGUGCAAUGCCACACGGGGUGUGCUGGGCUGGGACAGACACCAGUGACACCCUCCUGACCACAAGGUCCCUGAGGAGUGGGCCAGCUGUGACUGCAGCUUUUUAAGGGCUGACAUUUGGAGAAAGGUCAAAGCAGAAACUUACUUCUGAUUUGGCAUCCCCCGUUUGGCAAGUGAGUCCUCUUGCUGAAUGGCAAGAACGAGCAGCAGAGACAUAAAUGGCCCCCAAGGCUCUUUAGGCUGAGGCUGACCAGCUGCUGCAAGCACAGCUGCUGACAGGCAGAGGGUAAUGAAGAAAAGGAGUUUUGUACCUGCCACAAAAAAGCCUUGCUGGCUGCUCCUCUGGCUUCACUUCUCACUGGUGCAAGUCUGUGCUUGGGAGCAGCAAGUAGUGCCUGAGCCAAGGACCUGCCACCUGCCUGUGGAAUGGCACUGAUGGAGGGGAAUUAGCUCAUUAGGAAAUCCCAUUUGGACAGAGUGCUUUUCUGGCUCUGCAUGUGCUCCAAAAUGGAACCAGUUCUUUGCAAGAACUUCUUGGUUAUGAAAAAAAAGAGAGUUUGCAUGUGCUUUCAAUAAGAGGAAGGGUUAUUUCCUGCCCAUCUCCCCACUGAGAGCCCACUUGUAGGUAGGGAUGUCUGCUCCUGCCUGAUCUUUCCAGAGUGGGAAAGCCACUUAGCUUGUGGACUUAAAACACCAUAGCAAAAUAUCGGGGCUGGGGGGGGAAGUUAGAUGUGAAUUGCAAAACCCCAAGUACUCAUUCUGUGACCAGGUGAGAAGCUCUCAUUAGCAGGUGCAGUGCUCUUACAGAGAAAAAUGGCAUUUUGAAAUUACAGCCCACGUGCUUUCUUCAAAGCAAACAGCCAAGGGCACAAAGAAAACUCCUCAAUGAAUCAUGAACUCCUCUUAGGGCAGUGUGCCUUGAGUUCAUACAUUUGGCUGAAAGGAUUAAAAAAAAAACUACCUCCUUGGUGGAGCUUUCUUAGCACGGUGCCAGAAAAGUCAGACAGAAGAAACUUCUUGGUGGCCUAAUAGUAGGUAAGCCUUGCUUAAUGAUAUUUUGCCAUAUGGUAUGUGUGUUUUUAGCUAUUACCUGGAGAUAUUCCUUUCAAAGGUGUUUUCUCUAGAAAGGACUUUGCCCUCAGAAUGAUGUGAGACCAUUUACCCAUGAGUUUCAGGCCUAUCACAUGAAAUUAAGCACCAGAAUGCUCAGUAAUUAGAGACCUCACCCUGGAAAAUGGAUAAUGACAGAGUCCUUGAAAUCAGUGAAGGUUAAAGCUGCCUGUUUAUAACAACACCUCUGUAAACCCAAGAUAAGAUGUUGAUUAGGAUAUUCUAUCAGCCACAUAACAAUUAUAUUUAAUGCUGUAAGGAGAGUUUAUUUUGAGCAUUGCAUGAUCCAGUAAAUAACCCCCCUGCUUUGCAAAGACACAAAUACUGUGCUUUGUUCCAAUCUGUCCAACGUCCAUACACUUCUCACAGAUAAUCAUUUAGGGACAUAAAGGACAUGUGAGGGGUUCCUGAAAAGAAAUGUCUGCAGAAAAUCAGCAGGUCCAAUGGUUGGAUUUUUUCCCAGUAAGAAUGUGUAAAUGAGCCAUAAGUCAGCCAAAAGCUCAAGCAAAAGUUCCCUAUAAAAUAGCUACAAAUUGUACUUAGGUCAGUUUGGGAUCUACUGCCUGUUAAAGCAAAUCCAUGUGUUCUCCUCUUGCCCUGCCUGCCUGAGAGGCUGCCUGGCAGUGGCAGAUGUCCCAGCCUGGGCACAUUGCAGGCCAGGCAGAGUUCUGAGCACCCUGAUGUGGCUGCAGAUGUCCCUGCUCAGUGCAGGGAGCUGCUCCAGGUGCCCUUUAAUGGUCCCUUCCAACCCAAACCACUCUGUGACUCUGUGACCUUCCCAAGGGACUUACAUGGGUAAACAGAAACUAUUCCUUGGCCUUUUUCUCAUGAAUUCUCAUUAGUAAGUAAUUACAGCUUUUGGAAAUAUGUUGGUUUAAGUUAUGCUUUUAACAGAAGUUUAUAAAUAUUUUAUGGUUUUGCUUUCAUACAAGAAUUUUAAUCUUACAGGCAAUAAGGUUCUCCAAAAUGAUCUGUACAACCUCAUAUUUACCCCUGAGCAAGAAUUCUCACACAGGCCGUGCCUAAUGCAAGAUUCCUGAAGUAGCAGAGAGCAGAAGAUGAGACGUGUGGCUCCAGAGAGGAGGCCCUAGCUGCCAGCACAGACUGCCACAUCAGCAACAGGAGAGCUCCUAGGGAAGCAUCUGGAUGCCCAGGAGGAGACUUGGCUUUAGGUACAAAACCUGGAUGGAAAAUUGAAUUCAGAGUUAAAGAAAACCCAAAAAAAAACAACCCAAACCCACUCAUGCAGCAAAGUAUUUGAGAGCCCAUAUUCACACUGGGCAAAAGUUUGGAUUUUUUUCUACUUCUUUUUGUAUCUCUGGUUUCUGUUCCUGUUGGUUACUUUUCUUUCCUAACCUGUCAAGAAUUCCAAGAUGCCAGCAACAAGAAGCUGCUGUGAGGCUCCUUGGAUCGCUUCUGUUGGGAAACAGUCAGUGAAACAAGGAGUGCCACAGAUUUCAGCCUCACUGCCUGAGCUCCAGGGCUGAGUACAACACUUACAGUGGGGCUUGUCCUUAGUAUCACUGCUGGAACAGAGAUGUAAUAAAAAUAACUUAACCAUCUCUGUACUUCACAACCUAGGCAGGAAAGCAUAGGAGAGAUUUCAGGCAGUACAUAAGUAUAGGAGAGAAAUUUAGGAUAUGAAUUUGUUUUAAAGGGGCACGGAUCUUUCAGUGUUCCAAUUACCCAGGGGGCUGAGACAGAUGGAAGUCAGAGCCUUGUGUUGACAACACAACAAAACCACAAGAGCACAAAAGAAAGGAAAGCAUAAUGAUAAUUGUGCCCAUGUGUCCCACAGGAAAGAAACACGGGAUACAAUCAGAAAUGCAGAGGAUUUCACGUACCCCAGACACAUCUCUACAAACCCUGUGUCCAGGACAGACACCACAAACUUGGGUCCUUUUUCUCAGGGGUUUGUCCAAGCACCUGCAUUAAAGGAGGGCUCACGCUGGCUGUGACCUGGUCACGGAACAGGACACUGAGCUAAACUGGGACUUUUCCCCCUACAACCUACAAUUAGGUAAUCUACAGAAUUAAUUUCCUUCACGUCUAAAGAAGCUCUGUUUUGUGGUUUGGCGUGCAUUACUGUGUGUUAGUCACAGCCUGACUGAAGGGAAGUGCACCAUCAAAUUUACUGUAACAGCAAUUUUCCUUAAGGUACAUCAGCACAGAUGAGUUGGCAGACCCCUGGUACACGGCUUGAAACCAUCUGUGAUGCAACAUUGCCAUCUAUGGGAGCCCAGGCUGUAACAGAUUUACACAGAAACACCCACACUGCUGCUCUCUGCUUCUGUCCAUUUUUCAGCGUGGUAUUUACUUUCCUAAAACACUUCUCUUUAUAAAAGCUUUGUGCCACCAGGAGAAAUCAACCUACUGUCCUCUCAUCAUUUAUUUCUUUCAAGCCUACCCUUCAAAUUCUAACAGAUACCUCCAUUACUGGUAUUUAGACUUUAUGUGAUAAUUUCAGUUCACAGAAGCCAUGCUCCAAGUGUGUCAGCAUUUCUGGAACACUUAAAAUCAAAUAAGCAAAACGUAAACCCAAGUGCACACAAGGCAGUAGCCACAUCACUGGUAUGAAGUGGCAAACAAUAUUUGGAAUAUUAUUUCUAAUGUGCCCCAAAGUCCUCAGAGAGCAAAGACGCAACUCCAAAAUAUCAUUACAGAUCUUUUCAGACGUAACCUGCUGAACAUUAGUGCUAUGAGUAAUGCAGGAAUGAGCUGGAUAAAGAAGUACAAUGGUUACGUGUCAAGUUGUUAUUCACUUGGAGUGCUCUCUGAAUUAUUCCAUCCAUGGUUUUCUUUGUUCAUUUUAAUUAAUUCACCUUUGUUUUCUUUCCAUGAGAAAAAUAUGUUUUAAAAGGAAACCUCAGUCAAAAGAUGGUUGGAGAGCCUUGUUCACACUGAACUGUAUUGCAUAUUCAAAUCAAAAACCACAACCAUUCCUUCUGCCACCAUCCUGGUAUUUUAGGGUUCGUGCUGGAAGUCCGUAAGCAAUUCCUACCUCAAGCAAAGGGAAUCAAUAGCAGUGAGACAUUAAAAGCAUUUCUUUAGAUUAUUAACUCUGUUCUAGCAGAUGUUGCAGAGAGAUCUCACCUCUCUAGAGAAGGCCAGUUCAAAGUAAAUACAACAUCAUGAUCUUGAUUUCCCUUGUCAGACUAGAGCAUUUUCAAGUCUUUAGCCUCCCUUUUGCUGAACACAGGUCUGUGUGGGUUUUUUAAAAUUUUAUUUUGAAGCACAGCCUAGUCACAUCAGUCUAAAAACAGACCUUAGGGCACACUUCCAUUUCCCAUUUCAGGAUUUCCCACCCUACAGGAACUUUAGCAUGAGGUCUCCUCCUAUAGCACCAGAUAAAGCAGAAAACAAAUUAUAAUAGGAUGACUUAAUAUUUUUUAGAAUUGCUAGGAGGUGAAACAAAACCCUGCACAACAGGAUCAUUUAUUACAGAAUUCUAGAACACCAGUUUGGGAGUGCAUCACUAACGGAUUUUUCACUUAGAGGGUUUUUAAGUUUUAAAUUAUGGGAUAUAAAAAGCUCUGCUUGUGUGAGCUAACCUAGAAAAAAAGUCAUCCUUAGAAUGCAAUGGAAGCUUGAUAUCUAGAUGGCAAGGACAGAAGAGCAAAAAGAGAAAGAUAAAUGUUCUUUGUAGUUCCUCCUUUGAAACUACCACUCCUGGUUUCACCUUUAAUUCAGAGGUGGAUUAGAGUAUUAAAAGAGGCUCUGUAGAUGUGUUAAAGGGGACUCCCACUGGAGCUCUGGUCUAAUUAAGCUACUUUAUGAAUCAUUCCAGUUUGACUAACUCAAAAUUUCUUUUAAAAAAAUAAUCACUUAAUCCAUCAAACCAAGAGUUCAAGCCCCUUUGUUUUUAAUAAUCAAAGAAGAAAUGCUGGGGUUUGAGAUUUGUAAGCCAUCACUUCAUUUUAUGGAUGUACUCUUCAUGAUAAUUGCUCUGCCAGCAGCUGGCCUGCAUUGCUCUCUGCCAGCAGCACCUUUCCCUGCCCUCCUUAGCAGCCCUGCAGCAGAAUGCUGGUGUCACACGGAGAGAAAUGUCCCAACCCAUGGAGAUCAUCAGUCAGCAUCUUGGUGCUGGCUUGGCUGGAGAUCAGAGGAGCUGGAAUGGCUCUGGUGGCUUGGCUGGAGAUCAGCAGGAGCUGGAAUGGCUCUGCUGAAGUUCCUGCAGGGCACAGCAGAGCCCUGCCCAGCCCUGUAAGGAGCCCCUUGCAGGUACUGUGAGCAGGGCUGUACAAAAUGUGCCACCACCCAAACCAGCCCCUGGCCCAGCCUGAGCUGGGGCUGGGAGCAGAAGCACAACGGGGUGACCCCACUUCUGUCUGAGCACUGGGCCCCAGAGAGUCCAGUGGUGCUCUCUGGUGAAGCACAGCCUCUGUGGGUCACACAGCACAUGAUUCCCUGUGCUUUCCCAGAAAGGGGACAUGGGGGCAUGACCAAGGCUCCUAGAUCUGGUUUUGUGCCAGUUUGCAAUGCAGGGGGGCAGCAGCCAGCUUUUCUGGGUGAGACAAUCGGGUGAAUGGGACAUGCACCUGCUUUUAGUCUUGUUCUUGCAAGGAUUUACAAAACCAGACUGACUUGCUGACCAGCAGGGAAGUCACAAGAAGAGUCAUCAUGAGAACAAAGCAAAGGGGACACAGCUCUUACACAGUGUCACAUGUUACAGGGACAAACAACAAACCCAAGGGGGCUGAGCAGAGCUUAAACCUGCUCCUGCUUUAGUCUCUCCUGCUGCCCUUAAGUGUGGCCUGGGAAAAAGCUCCUCUCUCUCCAAGCUCCAGCCUUGCCCCCUUUUACUUCCCAGGAGCUGUCAGCUCCUUCAGGCCGAAGCAGAAGCUGGGAAGGAUUCUGUUAGGAAAUUGUGGGGCAGAGCCCAGAAGGCUUGAUGGAUACACACAGACAUCCAUCUCACUCACCAGGAACCCUUGUCUCAGUGUCAAAUGGGAAGUGGUGACAAAGGUCAGGCUGUGGAUUAAGCACAAACCCAAUUUUUUCUUUGAUGGUACCUCAAUAGGAGUAUUUAAAACACUGCAGUUUAUAUUUUCAUAGCUGAGUAAGCACCUAAGACAUAAAACAGUCACGUAAUUAGAGACACGUGGAGCAGCUCUAAUGCCAGAUGUAAAUGAAUGUGCGUUGGUUUAACAGAUAUUUCCACAUCAGUUUCUAUCAGCACACUCUCUGAAACCAAUACCUCCAAAGCUGUACAGGAACAAAGCGACACUGGGGUAUCAAAGUUACCUUACAGAGGAAUAAAAGCCUAAGACAAAAGUCACUACAGAGCUGGUAUGCACUGAUUUGCCUUUAUCAUCAGUACAAGUGUGUCCAGACAUAAUGAAGGGAUAAUAGAAGCUGGAAAAGAGAUUGUAUAGCUGGAGAAAGCCAGGAGUCAGGGAAUCCAGAUGUUUUUUACAUUUUAGAAUUUUACUUGAGGACAGGGCAGCAUUUUUGCUGUUGAUGUUGUUGCAAAUCAGCACUUCAUGCUUAAGUGCACCACAAGCAGCAAGUCCUCCCCUGACAUCUGGAAACAAGAAUACCCCAGGACAAGGCAUGCACUGCCAGCAGAAGCCAGAAAUGCCUUAACUGAGUUCUAAUGCACAAAACUCAGCUCCAAGUGUAUCCAUAUUUCAUCCCUACAUUUCUGAUUCUGUAACACAUUUUGAGCCAGAGCCAAAAUGUUGAGAUGAAAACCCCUAACAAUUUAUUGAGACAUCAAGACAACAAAAUAGACUUAUUUCUUAAUUAAAUAUAUGAAUACUCAAAGAAACCCAAACCACAUUCUGGUAUGCCUUUAUGGUUUUUUGCACUUUUGAUGUUAAUUAAGUUCUGCAUAUCUCGAACUGCUGCUGGAGAACUAAGACUAAUCUAUAACUCCUAUAAGUUGUCAUAGUUCCUCUGAAAUCAAGGGAGGUUUUGACAAUUUACACCAUCUGAGGAACUGCUCUGUGUGCCUAAUAAGACACACUGCUGUUUAAUUACAGGCAGGUUCAGAAGGAAUCUCCACAGCUCCAGAAAAAGCUGGUUCUGUCAGGAAGAAUCAUUUUUUGUUCUCUAAAACUCAUGAUGAACUUCAAUGUCAAAAGCCAUCCUUCUCUCUGUAAAGACCAUAAAUGUGUCUUGAGCUGAAAGAAAAGGUUCUGUGGACUGCAGGCAGCUUUGAAGUGUGGCCUUGGUGCUGCGAGAGGGUUUUGAGAGGAGAAGUAGGGAGUGCCUGUCCCAGUGUCCUCAGAGCCCUGGAAUAACAGGUGGGGAGACUGGGAGCAGCCAGACCACAGAACCUCAACACAGGAGCAAGAGAACAUCGAUCCAGACAUUCCUGUGACAGUUUUCAGUCUGGAGAGUAAGCCAGGGAGAUACCAUGUGUUUACACACUGAUUUCUGAGAGGAUUUACUUGCUCUGCGUCAGAUUUAGGAACAUCAUUUAGUGGUAGCCUUGGCAGUGCUGGGUUAAUAGUUGGACUCCGUAACCUUAAAGAUCUAUUCCUACCUAAAUGGUUCUAGGAUUCUAUGUUUGCAACGACAGAACUGCAGGAGUUGUGUGUUCCACAUCUGCUGCUGUGAAGAUGAAUACCUUAAAAUGUGUACAGACAUUGCAGUGAUAGGUGUGUAAGCUGCAAGAAGAUUUGGACAGAACACAGCAACACUCACUUUCACCUGAUCAACAAAGCACAACAACAAACAAGCACCUAAUAAAACCCCACCAAAACACAAAAAAUCCAACCACUGUCAAACCCACAGUUCCAAAACCAGAAAGUCACAAAAUUUUUCAAAAAGCUUUUCACAAAGUUUUGGGCAAAGCAACAGUAGGUUCCAUCUCUAGGUUUUGCGCUACCAAAAAAAGUAGAAUAAGCUGUUGUGAUUGCCCACCUGCACAGGGAGGACAUAAACCACAUGAGGAUUAACAGCUACAGAAUAAUGUACACCACCCACUGCAAAAUCUGUGCUGCAGGUUAAGAGACAGAAAAACUUAUACCCUGGGGCAAGGAUCUCAGCAUAAGUGUGCUGCCUCAUUAAUACAGUAUUUUAUUACUAGGAUUUCUCUUAUUUUCCUGUGUCUCUCUAUCCACAUUUUAUUUCUGUUUCUUGCUGUCCUGUUUUCUUUCUUGUCUAUUUUUCCCCUUAAGCAGAGCUUGAGAAUUAUGUCAUGAUCAGGCCAUGGUAGGUACCUCAAGUGCAUUUGUGACCGAGCUGGAAGAGUCCAAUCCUCUCUACUACCCAAAGGAGAGGGAAGUGAAAAUUCAAACUGCACUCUUUUCUCCCAAGGGUUGGUGUGCUCUUUCUGCUACACAGAGUUGGAGCAAUUCUGCCAACAGAUUCCCACGUUUCUCAUGAGGGCAGACCCUGGCACAGUCGUUCUCCUGAUCCUGCACUUGAAAUGAGUCACCAGCAGAGCAAACAGCUCCAGAGGCAGCAUGAAUCCACAGCCCUGCUCCUUCUUGUUGAAUUCACCCAGCACAGCAGGGCUUAAGCUGAGGAUUUCAGUUCAAAGAGUGACUUUAGCGUCUGAAUUAAAACACUCUCAGCAGUUUGUGCAGCCACUUGGCUCACCUGGGAACGUCUGCAGUGGGGGCUUCCAGGGGCAGAGCGCUGCUCCCACCACAUCUGGAGCAGCACAGCUGUCCCUCAGCCAAACCCUCCUGCUCACGGGCACCUCUGCAGUGCUCCAAGUGCAGCCAGGAGCCAAGGACAGCAGUACCAAGAGCAACAACCAAGUGGAUUCUCUUUCCACACCAUCAGAUUAGCAAUGGAAGCUCCGGCAGAUUUUGGACAAACCGCAGCAGAAGAUUUCCUUGUGUUGGGAAGAAACUCUGUGACUCGGUUUGGCUGUUUUAGUUUACAGCCUGACCAAAGCUCUGACAUUCACACAGGAUGCAAGGAGGCACCUGGCUCACACCCAGCUGCAGUGGGAUCCCCGUGCCCAGCAUUCCCAACAGUCUUUGGAAAACAAAUCCCAAAUCCAGAGCCGGGCCAUAGGUGCAAGGCAUUUUUAAAAGAUCUCCCAGCAAGUGCUUUGUAAUUAGAAAUUGCAGGAAAUUACUCAGAUGUAGCUCGAGUCUUAAUUUUCCCUCAGUUUCUAAUUUAGCCAGAAGGAAUCAAUUAGUCCCCAGUUUGGAAUCUCUACCAUCUUUGAAACUUGGAUAUUCACAGAGAGCAAACAGCUCUUCGUGUGGAAGGCCCUAGCUAAAGGAUGUAAAUGGUGAACUGCAUGGAACACCAUUUAUUCACCCUGCUUUGGAAACACGAGAGGUUGAGCUGACCCUCCUGCGAUUCAAAUCUGAGUUUACAGCGUCAUUCAUCAUCUCAGAACGGGUCUGUUCCAGUCUCCUUGAACAAAACUAUUUUCUCCUCGCAUUUGCUGCACUGAAUUGGCUGAAUUUCAAUUCCAAGGUGUAUUGUACAAAGAACAGUUUUGGAGUGAAAGAUGUCAAGCUGGCAAAAAUUGAAAAUUAGAUUGGAAUGAAAUCUAAUUCUUUUAAUAUAGAAAGUGUUUCGUUUUGCCUCUGUAAUAUAAUUUGAAGUCACGUAGCAAUCAUGUUUCUUGGCUGUGGAGGUAGGUUUUGUCUCCAGCUGGAUGAAAUGAAGGAUUUUAAUACGAAAUUAUGCAACAAAUAGGUGGAACUUUUGUCCCAUACAGCAAGAAAAUACUUUUCACCUCUGAGCACUGAAUAUUUGCUGUGCCAGGGAGAUGACCUGUAAUCAGCUUGUUGGGUGACCCCUGCUUGAUUUUGGGCAUGACUAAAACCCACCUUUUAUUGUACCAGGUGAUCUUAUCAGUGACCUAACAAAAGUAGGAACCAAACACCUUCCAGUGCUGGGAUUUUGCUAAGCCUCUUUUUUCAGCACCUGGAGACAGACGGUGAGCACUGGGGGCACAAGCAUCCUCCUGCCAGAGCAGUGAUUCCGCCAACUUCUCCUUUCUCCAAGGCUUUCCGCUGCGGGCUCCAGGUGUAAAACCGGGAGCUGGGAGAGGCGCUUCCCUCCCGCAUUUUGGGCGGGCGGGAGGGGAGGUGGUCCAGCCGCACGGUGACAGCUGUAAAUCCUGGCGGAGCACGGAAUCCAUCAGGGCGGCGGGAGAGGAGCGCAGCUCAUCUCCGAACCGAGCAUCCCCCCCGGCCGGAAUGACACCAGAGCAGCUCCGGGUGCCUGCAGGUCUGCGGGCUGGGUAGCGGCAGGAAUCGGCCGCUGCUGCCGCUCUCAGCCCUGCGAAGCCGCCUCGCUGCUCCCGGAGAGCCGCGGCAGACGGAGCUGGCUCCGGCACAGGGAGCGCGAGCAGCGGCUCCUGCGGGGAUCCCGGAGCUCCCGCAGCCUUUCUGCCGGAGCCCGGCGGCUCCGCGGCGUUAUCCUCGUGCCCGAGAAGGAAGCUGCGUGUGGAACGCUGUGCUGAGCAGAGGUGUGCGUCGUUCCAGCUGGCUGCUCGCUCCGAAAGGACAGGCUGGCUACAAAUGAGAUGUGACUGUGCCGGUGGAGUUCACUGACUGGGGCUGGAGCGAGAGGAGCCUUCCUGGGAUGCCGCUGGGAGCUGCUGGCAACUGAGAACUCUGCCUGGUUUACCUGGAGCCCUGUGAGGAGCUUUGAAUAGCAGGUGUCUCUUUGCUGCACGCUAGGAAGAGAAAUUCUUCUCCAGAUGCUGAACAGCUCUAGAGUUUACUGCAAGCCAGGCUCCCCAGACUGCACCAUCAGAGCAGCUGCUGCUGCCAGAUCCAUGUCCUGGCACCGUUAGAACACGACCACGGCACAAUUACUGGGUUCCUGCAGGAUAACCGCCCUCUGAUUUAGUGAGUCAGGCUGGCAACUCGUAUGUUUAGCUUCCUAUAUUAGCUGAGGUGCAAUUAUGCAUCAGAUAAAGUCCCCUUUAAUGCAAAUGUCAUCUCUUUAUGACGCUGAAUGUGUUCAUUAGAACUCUUGGUGUCUGUAAUAUUUGAUGAGUGUUAUAUCUCCAGGUUUUCAAGGAGAAGUGAUGAAGUCAUAGAAAGUCUGGUAUUUGCUUCCUUCUUCUCACCUUUCAUCUUCAAUUUACAUGGGGUUGCACUAAUGCUGUCAAUUAUCCAAGCACCAUUUGGUUUUAGGAAGAUGUAUUUUCCCUACUGCUUAGAUAAGAGAAAUGCUCUGAACUGUAUCAUUUCAAUUCUUUACAGCAUGCAUGAAAAUAGAGAAGUUAUUGCUGAAUUUUAGGACAGUCCUGAUUUUAUUUAUGAAGUCAGUUUUGCUUUCUGUUUUCAUUUUUAUCGAUAACAACUUGCUAUCUUUCAUAGGAAUUUUCUAGGUCCUUUGUGAAAUCUUCCUUGCUAUGGUCUCUUGGACAGAUUAAAAAACCCAAAGCUCUCAAUGCUUUACAAAUAAAGCUACCAAUUAAAGUCUCAUACAA